rnacentral:misc_RNA from 1 species
AUCAAUCAUAGAGCAUCCAUCAGCGCACAGCAGGGUUGGGAAUGUAUCAAAACCUUCAGAGAGACAUAAUUCAAGAAUCAGCCUUAUACCCCUUUGGCAUUCUGGCAUCUCAGCCAAAGAAGUGUCCCCUGUAGACUUUGUGUAUGCACGAAGUAGUAUAAUCCACCAGAACCCUGAAUCAACAGGAGCAACUCUACCAAUAGCACUUUCACCGAAAUCAGCAGUUAUAGUCUCAUAGUUCCUAACAGGAUCAUGAGACACUUUAAAACUUGCAGGCAUAACUCCAUCCCCCAACUUGAACUGGUCUAUCUUCUUCUCCCGAGAUUGGAGGCGCAAGGUUUUCAAAAGAAAAUUCUUUACUAUAUCAGGUUCACCAUUCAUCAAGAAUGCCAAAGCGCUGGGGACAAAAUCUCUGACAAAAACCUGAUCAUAGUUAAGUUCCUCAGCAGAAUUAUCUAUAGCAGCAAUAGUUCCCACAGGUUGAUCUCGGAAGUUAACAAUAGAACGCCUCAAAGCUUCCCAUGCUUCGCCGAUUAUAGGAUGCGGCUCAUAUCCGAAGGUUGAUCUGGGUGUGUGUAUGCCGGACCACCUUCCUGGUGAAUACACUCCAACCAUAUUAUCAAAAACACGAGAAGAGUUCUCCGAAUUUUUGUAUACCUGACGUGGCGGUGAAUGAGUCAUUGACAUUUCGCUGAAAGAUCUUUCAUCGAACGACCUCUUCCUUUCAAUAUUAACUUGUCUUGGCCUUUCCAGCAAUCUAGCCAAAUCUUCCUCGAUUUCAAACAAGGAUGGAGCAGCUUCCGCGUGUCUUGCAUUCCCAUUUUGAGACACAUCCACAGGGCUAGGCAUCUUCCAAUACUUCCAAAAGUCCUAGACAAUAAGAAAUCGAAUCCAAAGAUCUCAAAGUAUCGGCGGCGGCGGCUACGGCGAACUUCAGUGAGAUCUAAGGUUUCCGAGGAAGACACCAACCAUGAAA